rnacentral:misc_RNA from 1 species
AAGACUAUAGACCUGCGGAGUACCUGCGGAGGGAUCAUUAACCUUUCAAAAAACAGGGUGCGUCGCGGCCCCCCUCCGGGGGCGGUUUGGGGUCCUCCCCUUCACGCGCGCACGACUGCAUCCUUACUUUACGAGCACCUUCUGUUCUCCCUCGGCGGGGCAACCUGCCGUUGGAACCGAAUAAACCCUUUUUUGCAUCCAGCAUUACCCGUUCCGAAACAAACAAUCGUUACAACUUUU